rnacentral:rRNA from 1 species
GCUUCUCUUGAGAGCGGCGGACGGGUGAGUAAUGCCUAGGAAUCUGCCUAGUGGUGGGGGAUAACGUUCGGAAACGGACGCUAAUACCGCAUACGUCCUACGGGAGAAAGCGGGGGACCUUCGGGCCUCGCGCCAUUAGAUGAGCCUAGGUCGGAUUAGCUAGUUGGUGAGGUAAAGGCUCACCAAGGCGACGAUCCGUAACUGGUCUGAGAGGAUGAUCAGUCACACUGGAACUGAGACACGGUCCAGACUCCUACGGGAGGCAGCAGUGGGGAAUAUUGGACAAUGGGCGAAAGCCUGAUCCAGCCAUGCCGCGUGUGUGAAGAAGGUCUUCGGAUUGUAAAGCACUUUAAGUUGGGAGGAAGGGUAGUAACUUAAUACGUUGCUACUUUGACGUUACCGACAGAAUAAGCACCGGCUAACUUCGUGCCAGCAGCCGCGGUAAUACGAAGGGUGCAAGCGUUAAUCGGAAUUACUGGGCGUAAAGCGCGCGUAGGUGGUUCAGUAAGUUGGAUGUGAAAUCCCCGGGCUCAACCUGGGAACUGCAUCCAAAACUGCUGAACUAGAGUACGGUAGAGGGUGGUGGAAUUUCCUGUGUAGCGGUGAAAUGCGUAGAUAUAGGAAGGAACACCAGUGGCGAAGGCGACCACCUGGACUGAUACUGACACUGAGGUGCGAAAGCGUGGGGAGCAAACAGGAUUAGAUACCCUGGUAGUCCACGCCGUAAACGAUGUCAACUAGCCGUUGGGAGUCUUGAACUCUUAGUGGCGCAGCUAACGCAUUAAGUUGACCGCCUGGGGAGUACGGCCGCAAGGUUAAAACUCAAAUGAAUUGACGGGGGGCCCGCACAAGCGGUGGAGCAUGNGGUUUUAAUUCGAAGCACNCGAAAAACCUUACCUGGCCUUGACAUG